rnacentral:misc_RNA from 1 species
AAGCCUCCGUAUGUAAACACCAGCCACUACAUUUCCUGAAAAUGGUGGAGCACUUGGACAGAUAUCUAGUCCCUUUUCCCCUGAAGCUUGUCUUCUUUCUUCAGCAGUUUGUCCUUUUAAUGAAGAUUCAUGGACUACACCUUUACCUUUCACAACAUCCCCCUUCUUUUGCACUGCUAUUCCAUCAUUGCCACCACUUACAUCAUUACCUUGGGU